UACGGAGGAUCCGAGCGUUAUCCGGAAUCACUGGGCGUAAAGCGUUGCGUAGGUGGUUUUGUAAGUCACUGUUUAAAGACCGAGGCUUAACCUCGGAACUGGCAGUGAUACUGCAAAACUUGAGCACGAGAGAGGUGGCUGGAAUUCCCGGUGUAGGAGUGAAAUCCGUAGAUAUCGGGAGGAACACCAAUGGCGUAGGCAGGCCACUAGCUCGUUGCUGACACUAAUGCACGAAAGCGUGGGGAGCGAACGGG
rnacentral:rRNA from 1 species